rnacentral:rRNA from 1 species
CCUAACACAUGCAAGUCUAACGGUAACAGGAAGAAGCUUGCUUCUUUGCUGACGAGUGGCGAACGGGUGCGUAACACGUAGGUAACCUGCCCUGAAAGGGGGGAUAACCACGGGAAACUGUGGCUAAUACCGUAUAAUCUCGCCGUGGCGGUGGUUACGGUGAGGAAAGCUGAGGCGAUUUGGGAGGGGCCUGCGGUCGAUUAGCUGGUUGGUGGGGUAAAGGCCCACCAAGGCGAUGAUCGAUAACUGUUCUGAGAGGAAGACCAGCCACACGGGAACUGAGACACGGUUCCGACUCCUACGGGGGGCAGCAGUGAGGAAUAUUGCGCAAUGGGGGGAACCCUGACGCAGCAACGCCGCGUGGAGGACGAAGGUUUUCGGAUUGUAAACUCCUUAACUGGGGGAAGAGGGAGGACGGUACCCCAGGACGA